rnacentral:rRNA from 1 species
AGUGAACGCUGGCGGUAGGCCUAACACAUGCAAGUCGAACGGCAGCACAGUAAGAGCUUGCUCUUACGGGUGGCGAGUGGCGGACGGGUGAGGAAUACAUCGGAAUCUACUUUUUCGUGGGGGAUAACGUAGGGAAACUUACGCUAAUACCGCAUACGACCUACGGGUGAAAGCAGGGGAUCUUCGGACCUUGCGCGAUUGAAUGAGCCGAUGUCGGAUUAGCUAGUUGGCGGGGUAAAGGCCCACCAAGGCGACGAUCCGUAGCUGGUCUGAGAGGAUGAUCAGCCACACUGGAACUGAGACACGGUCCAGACUCCUACGGGAGGCAGCAGUGGGGAAUAUUGGACAAUGGGCGCAAGCCUGAUCCAGCCAUACCGCGUGAGUGAAGAAGGCCUUCGGGUUGUAAAGCCCUGUUGUUGGGAAAGAAAAGCAGCAGGUGAAUACCCCGCUGUUCUGACGGUACCCAAAGAAUAAGCACCGGCUAACUUCGUG